UACAUUGAUGCUUCAUAUGUUUGAUUCUAUGCAAACUCAGUGAGCUUCCUUGUUACUCAGCUAUAAAAGCAUCACAUCAGGCUGUCAGUGGAGUUCACAGCACGUCAGUUUCAACAUAAACCAUGUUCUCUGUAGCUCUGCUGCUGCUGUUGGCAGCUGGAUGUGUGAAGUGUGAACAGUUGACACAGCCAGCCUCUGUGACUGUGCAGCCAGGUCAACGUCUGACCAUCACCUGUCAGGUCUCUUAUUCUAUGGACAGCUACUACACAGCUUGGAUCAGACAGCCUGCAGGGAAAGGACUGGAGUGGAUUGGAAUGAAAUCAACUGGAUACUCAUACUAUAAAGAUUCACUGAAGAACAAGUUCAGUAUCAGCUUAGACUCUUCCAGCAACACAGUGACUCUAAACGGACAGAAUGUGCAGCCUGAAGACACUGCUGUGUAUUACUGUGCCAGAGAGCCACAGUGACACAAAGCAUCAGUAGACCU